rnacentral:rRNA from 1 species
AGAUUGAACGCUGGCGGCAGGCCUAACACAUGCAAGUCGAGCGGCAGCACGGGUACUUGUACCUGGUGGCGAGCGGCGGACGGGUGAGUAAUGCCUAGGAAUCUGCCUGAUAGUGGGGGAUAACGUUCGGAAACGGACGCUAAUACCGCAUACGUCCUACGGGAGAAAGUGGGGGAUCUUCGGACCUCACGCUAUCAGAUGAGCCUAGGUCGGAUUAGCUAGUUGGUAGGGUAAGGGCCUACCAAGGCUACGAUCCGUAACUGGUCUGAGAGGAUGAUCAGUCACACUGGAACUGAGACACGGUCCAGACUCCGUACGGGAGGCAGCAGGUGGGGAAUAGUUGGAACAAGUGGGGACGAAAAGCCCUAGGACUCCGAGCCCAUCGGCCGCGUGUGGUAGAAGAGGUUCUUCGGAUUGUAAAGCUACGUUUAAGGUAGGGAAGGAAGGCUAAUUAACCGUAA